GCUGUAGCUCAGUGGUAGAGCAGAUGCUUUAUAUGCAGAAGGUCCUAGGUUCAAUCCCCAGCAUCUCCA